AUUGAACGCUGGCGGCAGGCCUAACACAUGCAAGUCGAACGAGUGGCGGACGGGUGCGUAAUGUCUGGUAAACUGCCCGAUGGAGGGGGAUAACUACUGGAAACGGUAGCUAAUACCGCAUACCAUCGGAUGUGCCCAGAUGGGAUUAGCUUGUAGGUUAGGUAACGGCUCACCUAGGCGACGAUCCCUAGCUGGUCUGCGAGGAUGACCAGCAACACUGGAAAUGAGACACGGUCCAGACGCCUACGGGAGGCAGCAGUAGGGAAUAUUUCAAAAUGGGCGCAAGCCUGAUGCAGCCAUGCCGCGUGUGUGAAGAGGGCCUUCGGGUUGUAAAGCACUUUCAGCGGGGAGGCGUUACCCGCAGAAGAAGCACCGGCUAACUCCGUGCCAGCAGCCGCGGUAAUAC
rnacentral:rRNA from 1 species